rnacentral:rRNA from 1 species
AACGAACGCUGGCGGCAUGCCUAACACAUGCAAGUCGAACGAGACCUUCGGGUCUAGUGGCGCACGGGUGCGUAACGCGUGGGAACCUGCCCUUAGGUUCGGAAUAACUCCCCGAAAGGGAUGCUAAUACCGGAUAAUGUCUUCGGACCAAAGAUUUAUCGCCUUUGGAUGGGCCCGCGUUGGAUUAGCUAGUUGGUAGGGUAAAAGCCUACCAAGGCGACGAUCCAUAGCUGGUCUGAGAGGAUGAUCAGCCGCACUGGGACUGAGACACGGCCCAGACUGCUACGGGAGGCAGCAGUGGGGAAUAUUGGACAAUGGGCGAAAGCCUGAUCCAGCAAUGUCGCGUGAGUGAUGAAGGCCUUAGGGUUGUAAAGCUCUUUUACCCGGGAUGAUAAUGACAGUACCGGGAGAAUAAGCUCCGGCUAACUCCGUG